AUUCCAGCUCCAAUAGCGUAUAUUUAAGUUGUUGCAGUUAAAAAGCUCGUAGUUGGAUUUUGGUUAAGAGGGCGCGGUCGGCCGUUUGGUCUGUACUGCGUUGUCUUGACUUCCUGAUGAGGACAUGCUCUUGGUUAACGCUGAGACAUGGAGUCAUCGUGGUUACUUUGAAAAAAUUAGAGUGUUCAAAGCGGGCUUACGCUUGAAUAUAUUAGCAUGGAAUAACACUAUAGGACUCCUGUCCUAUCUCGUUGGUCUCGGGAUGGGAGUAAUGAUUAAGAGGAACAGUUGGGGGUAUUCAUAUUUACAUGUCAGAGGUGAAAUUCUUGGAUUUUGGAAAGAUGAACUACUGCGAAGGCAUUUACCAAGGAUGUUUUCAUCA
rnacentral:rRNA from 1 species